rnacentral:lncRNA from 1 species
GGCGCUGGGACGGUGGCUUUUGGGUGUACCUUUGUCAUUAUUUUAGAAGAUAGAAGAGAGAGAGAGAGAGAGGCGAAGAUUAGGACUGAGAUUGGUGGUUGUUCUUGGGACUAUAUGCAGCUAUAUAUAUAGCUAUAUUUUGUAAAUUAUAUUCACCAAUCGGAGAUGGGAGGCUUAUUUAUCUUUGGUCAAUUACAAAAGAAACAAAAUAAAGAGGUGGGGACGGAUAUAUAGAGGGAGGUAAAGAACAAAACAGCAUCAACAAAGAAGCGUUUUUAAGCAUAUCUUUAAGAAAAU